CGCAGUUUUGCAAAUUUCUUCAAAAUCUGAUGUCUGCACAUUUGUCUCCAGCCUAUAUGGCAACAUAUCUGCCUCAAUCAUUUUUUCGUUUUCCAGCUUUGUCAUCACAUCAUUUAACCGUUCAAUCUCUGGAUAAACUAUGGGCUUACUACAAAUACUUGCAAGUCUGUUUGUUGUGCUCCUAGGAAAUGUGUAAGGUGGGAAAAAUUUAUCGGAAUUAUAGAUAUGAUGGGUAAGUGUGUAUGCUGAUGACUUUGAAAUCAUGAUGAUUGUGGUGGGGGUUUUAAAUUAAUUGUCAGUCACUUUAUAAAGUACACCUGUCCUCCCUGCAUAAUUAUACACAUAGUGGCCGCAUCAUAUUUGCGAGCACAAGCAGCUAUGCAUGAAUCAAUAUAUUAGAAUGUAAGAACAUUCGACAAAUUUUGAUGAGUGCAGACUUUGUCGCCAAUCCUAUUUACCUAAUUUUACCAUAAUCACAUUAAGUCGAGUGUCCAGGUCUUUAUUCUGUCCACAUUUCUCUGCAAUGACUGCACUGAUUCUAGAUUAUCUGCCAUUACACCUAUCAAAACAUCAUUUGAAUUCUUAAAUUCAUAUACAUUAGCAUUCAAGGGUUUGGAAUCACACAGGAAAGGAACUUUUAUGUUUUGGAUAGAAACUGAU